UCUCCCUGCAGACCCCUCCGGCCAGCUCUCUCCCUGCAGACCCCCUCCGCCAGCUCUCUCCCUGCAGACCCCCUCCGCCAGCUCUCUCCCUGCAGACCCCCUCCGGCCAGCUCUCUCCCUGCAGACCCCCUCCGCCAGCUCUCUCCCUGCAGACCCCCUCCGCCAGCUCUCUCCCUGCAGACCCCCUCCGCCAGCUCUCUCCCUGCAGACCCCCUCCGCCAGCUCUCUCCCUGCAGACCCCCUCCGCCAGCUCUCUCCCUGCAGACCCCCUCCGGCCAGCUCUCUCCCUGCAGACCCCCUCCGGCAGCUCUCUCCCUGCAGAACCCCUCCGCCAGCUCUCUCCCUGCAGACCCCCUCCGGCCAGCUCUCUCCCUGCAGACCCCCUCCGCCAGCUCUCUCCCUGCAGACCCCCUCCGAGACCUGCGGCCGGCCUGCGCUAGCCUGUGAUCUGGCCACGGGGUCAGGAAAGCAUGGAGUUUGGAGACCAGCGUUUCUGAUGGGCCAGGACCGCCCGGUGGGGGAUCUGAUGAAGCGCGUGCUUCCACCUGGGCUACGGCCUCAUGGACACUGUGGCUUUCCGCUCCCAUCUCUGGGAUGGGGGCCUCAGACCCGACGGCGCCAUGCACGACGUGAUCUCGUUCUGUUCUCCCCCACCUUGUGUGAGGAAACUGCCUCCAGGCAGGGCAUUUCGGGGGAGCCCCACGGGGGUCUGUGUGAACCGCAGGAGGUGGUUUAAUGAACCUAAAUCCACGGCAGCAUCGGCCUCACUUGGGAGCUCGUUGCAAAUCCAACCCUCAAGCUCCACCCCAGACCCACGGAGUCACAACCCCGGGGCGGGCCCGCGGGCUGUGUUACCCUCCGGGCGCCUUUGGGGCCCCGCUGGAGUCUGAGAAAGGCUCGCUCACGGCGAAGUAUGACGACGAUGGAGGAACACAGACGAGGAACACGGAGAGGCGGGACCUGCAGUUAGAACAGGAUGUGGAUUGGUAGACCAUGUGCCAGCAAAAAACGGAAAAUGGACGGUGUGGGAAGCGAUAUGAGAUCCUGCCCCUUCCAGAAAUUUUUACGAGUUCAGCAUUCUGCUGCUGCAAACAUGUAGAAGACGAAUCGGUAUACACAGGUGACAUUCAGCAACAUGGAACUCUGCAUUCAAACUUCAGACAGCGACAUGUCUUUGGGUUGUUAGUAAUAUCCUCAAGUCUUUGUAACCCCGGUGUUAGAAAGGCAACUGAAUUUCUGUUCCUAAGGUUGGAGUGGAAUUGUGGCUCUCAUUCCAAAAGCA